rnacentral:rRNA from 1 species
UAAGGAGGAUGCGAGCGUUAUCCGGCUUUAUUGGGUUUAAAGGGUGCGCAGGCGGCCUGUUAAGUCAGCGGUAAAAGCCCGGGGCUCAACCUCGUCGAGCCGUUGAAACUGGGUGCCUUGAGUGGGCGAGAAGUACGCGGAAUGCGUGGUGUAGCGGUGAAAUGCAUAGAUAUCACGCAGAACCCCGAUUGCGAAGGCAGCAUACCGGUGCACAACUGACGCUCAGGCACGAAAGCGUGGGUAUCGAACAGG